rnacentral:rRNA from 1 species
GAUCCUGGCUCAGGAUGAACGCUGGCGGCGUGCUUAACACAUGCAAGUCGAACGAAGCACUUAAGACAGAUUCUUCGGAUGAAGUUUUUUGUGACUGAGUGGCGGACGGGUGAGUAACGCGUGGGUAACCUGCCUCAUACAGGGGGAUAACAGUUAGAAAUGACUGCUAAUACCGCAUAAGCGCACAGGGUCGCAUGACCUGGUGUGAAAAACUCCGGUGGUAUGAGAUGGACCCGCGU